AUGGGGACUGCGGGGUGCUGGCAUCUCCGGGGCGAAGCGAGGGUGACGCCCCUGUUUGCUGCUGGCCAGGGGUGCCGUGGGGCUGGCGUGCCGUGGGGCAGGCGGGCGGUCCGUGCCGUGCAGCCGGAGUCGGGGGCUGCCGGGGAGCCCGGGGGGGGGGGGGGGGGUGUCGCAGGCGAAGGCGCCGCUCGCCACGCGGCCCCUGGCCCGGCUCCGCUGCCCCCAGCGCCGCUGCUGCCCCGGCUCCUGUGCGCUCCCGGGCAGUUCGCCUGCGCGGCGCUGGGCUGCGUGGAGGCCGCCUCCGUGUGCGACGGGCAGCAGGACUGCCUGGACGGCUCCGACGAGGCGCAGUGCGGUGAGAGCGGGAUGCUCCGGGGGCUGGGAUGCUCCAGGGAUGCUCUGGGGAGCCAGGGUGCUCCAAGAAGUGCUGGGAUGCUCUGGGGAGGCUCUGGGGGGGCGGAUUGCUCUGGAGAGCCUCGGGGAUGCUCCAGGGGGCCGGGAUGCUCCUGGGAGCCAGGGUGCUUCAAGAAGUGCUGGGAUGCUCUGGGGAUGCUUUGGGGGGCCAGGAUGCUCUGGGGAGCACUGGAGAUGCUCCAGGGAGUCCUGCGGAUGCUGUGGGGAUGCUCCAGGGAUGCCGAGCCCCCAGCCCUGCCGGCGAGCCCACACUCUCCCCCCUUGCGCGCCGUGGAGCCGGCUGGGCUCAGGCACCCUCUGCCCGCGGCGGUGCGAGCCCGGCUCUGUGCCUGCCCCACAGGCGGCCCCACAGCCUCGGCCGGCCCCACGGUGCCCACGGCCUGGCCCCCCGCCUGCUCCGCCAAGCAGUUCUCCUGCGGCUCCGGGGAGUGCCUGGCGCCGGACAAGCGCUGCGACCUGCACCGCGACUGCGCCGACGGCUCCGACGAGAGCGACUGCGGUACGGGGGCCGGGAACCGCGGCUGGGGGGACCGUGGGGGACCCGAAAUGGGGGGGCCGACUCUGGGUUCAGAGCCCGGUCUGGGACGGGAUGAGCCGAUGCCCCACGGGGACCAGGGCAGCAGAGCCCCGCGGGGGGGCUGCUCCCGGGGGGACGGGGACCCCGCGGAGGGCAACGGGGGCCGGUGCGCCCGAUGCCGAGGCCGCCGCGUCCCUCCCGCCAGUCGACUGCAUCGUGUCCGCCUGGAGCGGCUGGAGCGAGUGCAGCCGCUCGUGCGGGCUGGGGGUCACCUUCCGCCGGCGGGACCUGCUGCGAAACGCCCUGCCGGGGGGCGCCUGCGACCGCCGCGAGUUCGACAGCCGGUCCUGCUUCCUCCGCGCCUGCCCAGGUACGGGCGUCCCUGCCCGGGGUGCGCGUGGGGUCCCCAUCCCCUGCCCGGGGUGCACGUGGGGUCCCCAUCCCCUGCCUGGGGUCUGCGUGGGGUCCCCAUCCCCUGCCUGGGGUCUGCAUGGGGUCCCUAUUCCCUGCCUGGGGUCUGCGUGGGGUCCCCAUCCCCUGCCUGGGGUCUGCAUGGGGUCCCUAUUCCCUGCCCGGGGUGCGCGUGGGGUCCCCAUCCCCUGCCUGGGGUGCGCCUGGGGUCCCUAUUCCCUGCCUGGGGUCUGCGUGGGGUCCCCAUCCCCUGCCUGGGGUGUGCGUGGGGUCCACAUCCCCUGCCUGGGGUGUGCGUGGGGUCCCCAUCCCCUGCCUGGGAUCUGCGUGGGGUCCACAUCCCCUGCCUGGGGUACAUGUGGGGUCCCCAUCCCCUGCCUGGAGUCUGCGUGGGGUCCCCAUUCCCUGCCUGGGGUGCACAUGGGAUCCCCAUCCCCUGCCUAGGGUGCACGUGGGAUCCCAAUCCCCUGCCCGGGGUGCAAGUGGGGACCCCAUUCCCUGCCUGGGGUGUGCAUGGGGUCCCUGUUGCCCACCCGGGGUGCACGUGGGGUCCCCAUCUCCUGCCUGGGGUGUGUGUGGGUUCCCCAUCCCCUGCCCAGGGUGCAUGUGGGUUCCCCAUACCGUGCACGUGGGGUCCCCAUUCCCUGCCUGGGGUGUGCAUGGGGUCCCCAUUCACUGCCCAGGGUGCACAUGGGGUCCCCAUCUCCUGCCUGGGGUGUGUGUGGGGUCCCUAUUCCCUGCCCGGGGUGCACGUGGGGUCCCCAUUCCCUGCCUGGGGUGUGUGUGGGUUCCCCAUCCCCUGCCCAGGGUGCACAUGGGCUCCCCAUCUCCUGCCCGGGGUCUGCGUGGGGUCCCCAUUCCCUGCCUGGGGUACAUGUGGGGUCCCCAUCCCCUGCCUGGGGUCUGCGUGGGGUCCCCAUUCCCUGCCUGGGGUGCACAUGGGAUCCCCAUCCCCUGCCUAGGGUGCACGUGGGAUUCCCCAUCCCCUGCCGGGGGUGCAAGUGGGGUCCCUAUUCCCUGCCUGGGGUGUGCAUGGGGUCCCCAUCCCCUGCCUGGGGUGUGCAUGGGGUCCCCAUUCACUGCCCAGGGUGCACGUGGGGUCCCCAUUGCCCACCCGGGGUGCACGUGGGGUCCCCAUCUCCUGCCUGGGGUGUGUGUGGGUUCCCCAUCCCCUGCCCAGGGUGCACAUGGGAUCCCCAUCCCCUGCCUAGGGUGCACGUGGGAUCCCAAUCCCCUGCCCGGGGUGCAAGUGGGGUCCCCAUUCACUGCCUGGGGUGUGCAUGGGGUCCCUGUUGCCCACCCGGGGUGCACGUGGGGUCCCCAUCUCCUGCCUGGGGUGUGUGUGGGUUCCCCAUCACCUGCCCAGGGUGCACAUGGGGUCCCCAUCUCCUGCCUGGGGUGUGUGUGGGUUCCCCAUCCCCUGCCCAGGGUGCACAUGGGGUCCCCAUCUCCUGCCUGGGGUGUGCGUGGGGUCCCCAUCCCCUG
rnacentral:lncRNA from 1 species